UACAGAGGUGGCAAGCGUUGUUCGGAAUUACUGGGCGUAAAGGGCGCGUAGGCGGUUCGUUAAGUCCUGUGUGAAAUCCCCCGGCUCAACUGGGGAACUGCACAGGAAACUAGCGGGCUUGAGUUCGGGAGAGGGUAGUGGAAUUCCCGGUGUAGUGGUGAAAUGCGUAGAUAUCGGGAGGAACACCAGUGGCGAAGGCGACUACCUGGCCUGUUCUUGACGCUGAGGCGCGAAAGCUAGGGGAGCAAACGGG
rnacentral:rRNA from 1 species